GAACUAACCUGGUUGUGUAACUGACAGAGUCAUCUAAAAUCCACUGGAAAGUUCGGAUCAAGCAGGCACUGCCUGGUAUGAGAUGUAAACAUGCACAGAUGUAAAGACAAACUAUGAUGAAGACCUACCAGUUUCACAUUCGUCUACUCUAAAUGUAUGUCCAGUUUCCCUUCCACUUGCGCCAUGCUAUGAUACAGCAUGAGGCCCUCACCCAGAAGCUGACCAAAAGCAGCUGCCUGAUCUUGGACUUCCUGCCUCCAGAACUGUGAGCUAAAUAAACCUCUUUUCUUUAUAAAUUACCUGGUAUCAAAUAUACUGUUAUAGCAAUAGAAAAAAGACUAAACAAAGAAUAAUUUUUUUCUCUUUUAUUCUUCACUAAUAUAGGUUAACUACAUUGAUUUUUUUUAAUGUAAACUAAUCGAACAUCUCUGGAAUAAACCCCACUUGGUCAUGACAUAGUUGUUUUAAAUCUCAC
rnacentral:lncRNA from 10 species